UAGCCUCAGUUUGCAGGUGUCGCUGGCUCUUUUAUGUCCCCACCGAUCGUUGCUUGGUCUCCCUACUUCUGAAAUGUCUCUGGAUGCUGUUUUAUUAUGUAGAGUCAGGCAAAAGACAGACGGCUGUGUAUGUGAAGCCGUGAUGAAGCUGGCACCGGGUCUGCUGUGUCUGUGGUAGUUUAUUACUGCUGCCAGCAGAAGAGAAAUCUGAUCCUGGCAGAUGCAGCCUGCUGUGAAUCAAUAUUUUACAGGACCUAUAGACAAGGAUGUGACGGCAGGAGUUGGGACAGCAGCACUUCUGUGGAAAAGACCAAGGAACUAUAUUUUUGCCUGACCUAGAGUAGUGGAUUCUCAAGGGGUGAGAAUUAAUUAAACUCCAGUCUGAUGCCUCUGAGCAAGGUGCUCUCAGCACAGUGAAGGUGUGAGAAAUAUACAAAACAUAAAACAAAAUGAAACUAAACAAAAACGAAUCGCCACAUCUCUGUCUUCAAGGAGAAUCACAACAUAUACACGACCUGCUCUUCUGUGAGAUGGACUGCUGAAUGUCCAUGACAUGGACAGUCAGUUCUCCAACAGCCCAGAAUUGCAGCCUUGGUAUCUGAAAGGAAUCUUGGAAUAAGAAAUAAGAAAGGAUGACUACAGGCUUACCAGCAGGACCUGGGCAAGCCACAAGAUACUUGAGCAUCUUCAUGGAAAGACUACAUAUCCACAUGGAAUCUGGGUCUUGCAAGAUGAAUUUUAACAGGAAAACAGACAAGAGGGUUCUUGGACAAAGAGACUGCUCGAGUCAGCACUUUCUAUGCUGUGUUCCACAUUUAAAAAAUAAAAAACACAGGGCACACAAGAGAGGUGUUAUAAGAAAUAGCCUUUUAAAAAAUAAAUGUUAAGGCUUUCAACUUACACGGAGAUUAAAAAUUAUCAUAGGUUAAAGUUCUUUGAUGAGAAAAAGUCUCAGAGAAAAAGGAGGAAGUGAAUAAUAAUUAAUAUUUAUAUGAACUA